CCUCACUCCUCACUCUUUUCUUCCCCGCCUGGAUCCCCUUUCUCAUUAAGCUCGCCGGCCACGCCGCCGCUUGCCGUUGCAACGCCCGCCGCAGGGACCGGCGGGAUCCGCCAACCGUCGGUCCGGAUCGACAUCCACGCCUCUGACUCCGACAUGCACACCUGCUAGACAUCGCCGUGAACCACCUCGUUUCUCCGGAACCUCUUGAACCAAGGCUGCCUUUCUCGGUUCCAUCGGCCGCGGCGGUCAUCCUCCUCCCUGAGCAACUACAGGGACCGUGACGGGCUCUGCUUCUGGACAACGGACUCGAAGGCGCGGGUCCCUCCUAAUUCUUCCUCGACCGCUGACCGCCAUUGACGCCGUUCGUCCUCUCGCCUCCCUGAUCCGUCCGACCCGGCUGCCAUGAACAGCAAGGACAUUCAUGAGGGUUUGAAUUUUUCUGCUGCUGACGAUGAAUCCUACUUUGGAAUCCUUUCAAUAAAGUUUUCAAAGGAUGGCCGUGAACUUGUUGUUGGAAACAGCAAUGAGUCAAUAUGUAUUUAUGAUCUUUGAGCAAACAAAGUGACAGAGCGAAUUCAUGCUCAUGUGGUAUGAAAGUCAAAUGCACUCUUUCUUUUGUUGCUUCCAUAACCUGUCCUUACAAUGUACGCAACACUGUUUGGUGAUAGACAUAUCUUCUUAGGUCAUAUUGGGAUGUACUUCUAAAAUCAUUUCAAGUA